rnacentral:rRNA from 1 species
GCUGUNGUCAGCUCGUGUCGUGAGAUGUUGGGUUAAGUCCCGCAACGAGCGCAACCCUUGUUCACUGUUGCCAGCACGUUAUGGUGGGGACUCAGUGGAGACCGCCGGGGUCAACUCGGAGGAAGGUGGGGAUGACGUCAAGUCAUCAUGCCCCUUAUGUCCAGGGCUUCACGCAUGCUACAAUGGCUGGUACAGAGAGUGGCGAGCCUGUGAGGGUGAGCGAAUCUCGGAAAGCCGGUCUCAGUUCGGAUUGGGGUCUGCAACUCGACCUCAUGAAGUCGGAGUCGCUAGU